ACGGGGCGCAGCAGGCGCGAAAACUUCGCAAUGUGCGAAAGCACGACGAGGGAAUCCCAAGUGCUGGCUCGUUAGAGUCAGCUGUUUUUAUGUCUAAAAAGCAUAGAGAGUAGGGGCUGGGUAAGACGGGUGCCAGCCGCCGCGGUAAUACCUGCAGCUCAAGUGGUGGCCGCUAUUAUUGGGCCUAAAACGUCCGUAGCCGGCUUAUUAAAUGCCUGGGUAAAUCGUACGGCUUAACCGUACGAAUUCCGGGUAGACUGAUAGGCUUGGGACCGGGAGAAGCUAGAGGUACUCCUGGGGUAGAGGUGAAAUUCUGUAAUCCUAGGGGGACCACCAGUGGCGAAGGCGUCUAGCUAGAACGGGUUUGACGGUGAGGGACGAAGCCCUGGGGCGCAAACGGGAUUAGAUACCCCGGUAGUCCAGGGUGUAAACGCUGCUUGCUUGAUGUUGGUUGGGCUCCGAGCCCAAUCAGUGUCGGAGAGAAGUUGUUAAGCAAGCUGCCUGGGAAGUACGAUCGCAAGACUGAAACUUAAAGGAAUUGGCGGGGGAGCAC
rnacentral:rRNA from 1 species